UGUGCAUCCAACAUCUGCUGAUUCGCGAUUACUAGCAGACUCCGACUUCAUGUAGGCGAGUUGCAGCACUACAAUCCGAACUGAGACUGGUUUUAAAGUUUGGCUCCACCUCACGGUUUAUCAUCUCUCUGUACCACCCAUUGGAGCACGUGUGUAGCCCUAGACAUAAGGGGCAUGAUGAUUUGACGUCAUCCCCACCUUCUUCCCGGUUAACCCGGGCAGUCUCGCUAGAGUGCUCAACUUAAUGGUAGCAACUAACAAUAAGGGUUGCGCUCGUUGCGGGACUUAACCCAACAUCUCAUGACACGAGCUGACGACAACCAUGCACCACCUGUCUUCCUGCCCCGAAGGGCUUCCUCCAUUACAGAGUAAUUCAGGAGAUGUCAAGUCUAGGUAAGGG
rnacentral:rRNA from 1 species